AUGCACAAUUCACUGUCUCCCCUUACCUUCCAUAAGAGUGGAGAUAUGUCAUUUGUGCUAGAGAAAACUGGAGGUAAAUUAGCGGAGUGGCUUCAUGUGCCUCCUCUGCCAGUCCCCUUCGUACAGAA